GAUGAACGCUGGCGGCGUGCCUAAUACAUGCAAGUCGAGCGAAGCGGGGACGGGUGAGUAACACGUGGAUAACCUCCUAUACGUCUGGGUUAACUUCGGGAAACCGGAGCUAAACCGGAUAUUGAUUGAUGGCUGCGCGCUGCAUUAGCUAGUGGGUAAGGUAACGGCUUACCAAGGCAACGACGCAUCGCCGACCUGAGAGGGUGAUCGGCCACACUGGAACUGAGACACGGUCCAGACUCCUACGGGAGGCAGCAGUAGGGAAUCUUCCGCAAUGGUCGAAAGCCUGACGGAGCAACGCCGCGUGAGUGAUGAAGGUCUUCGGAUCGUAAAACUCUGUUAUUAGGGAAGCGGUACCUAAUCAGAAAGCCACGGCUAACUACGUGCCAGCAGCCGCGGUAAUAC
rnacentral:rRNA from 1 species